UAGCUUUUGCUCGUCCUUGAGUAAAAUAAAAAUAAAAUAAAAACAAGAAUUAUACUAUCCCAUUUUCGUAGGAAACACGAUUGCUCUUAGCAUGUGCAACAAGCCUUUAAACCCCAAAUGAACGAGUUGUGUCUCGUGAGGGUUUGUAGUGAAUAUACCUACAAAAUUCAAAAAUAUUUUUGGGUUCAACAAAUUAUUAAAUUAAAAGAAAAUUCUAAAUAUCCAUGGGCAUUAUAUAUAAG
rnacentral:lncRNA from 1 species